rnacentral:rRNA from 1 species
AUUAAAGCCUNGGGUAUGCACGCUAAAUUACCUAAUUACCAUCUUAAUCCUUUCUUUAUAUUGAGCAAUUCUAUAAAAAUAUAGAAAAUUUUAUGUUAAAACUAGUAACAAGAAGAAGAUCCUUCUCUUAAAUGUAAGUGUAAAUCAGAAAGGACAAACCACUGAURAUUAACACCUGUGAGCCUWAAGUAGCAACCAAUYRRGRAAAUUCUACUUYUAMUAACGKUAACCUAACACAAGAACAUUUUAAGAAAGAUUAAAAGAAAAAGAAGGAACUCGGCAAACAUUAACCCCGCCUGUUUACCAAAAACAUCGCCUCUUGUAUCACAUAAGAGGUCCAGCCUGCCCAGUGACUCUGUUCAACGGCCGCGGUAUCCUAACCGUGCGAAGGUAGCGUAAUCACUUGUUCUUUAAAUGAGGACUAGUAUGAAUGGCACCACGAGGGUUAUACUGUCUCCUUUUUCUAAUCAGUGAAACUAAUCUUCCCGUGAAGAAGCGAGGAUGAAACUAUAAGACGAGAAGACCCUAUGGAGCUUUAAACAACACGGCAUCAAUACAAAAUUUUCUGAAGGCAACAUGACUGUAAGUUUUUGGUUGGGGUGACCACGGAGCAUAAUACAACCUCCACGUUGAAAGAAUAAACUAAGAUCUACCCAUCUAAGUAUCAACAUAUUGACAUUCAUUGAUCCAAUAUACUUGAACAACGAACCAAGUUACCCUAGGGAUAACAGCGCAAUCUACUUCAAGAGCCCCUAUCGACAAGUAGGUUUACGACCUCGAUGUUGGAUCAGGGUCUCCUAGUGGUGCAGCCGCUACUAUUGGCCUUAAAGCCGCC